AAUCUGUGGUAACUAUUGUAACCAUAAUACAUUUACAUUUAUGCAUUUGGCAGAUGCUUUUAUCCAAAAUGACUUGAGUUCAAGGUACACAUUUGCAUUUUAAUAUAGACAUUUCCCUGAUUGUUAUGGGCCUUGAAAUCACAAUUUUCUGGUUCCAUGAUUAAACUACUGAAACUCCUUGUAUAUACAAAACAGUUUGAAACAAUUUGAUCUUAACUCCUUUUAUAUGAAUUAACCUUAACCUGCUCUAACUCAAGUAACAUUAAGGCUUUCAGUUCACUUCUGUGAAGUUGCAUCAAAUUGCAUCAAUAAGAUGCCAUUUACGCUGACAGAGUCACACAAAACUGAUACAAGUCAAUCAUUUUCAUAAAGUCUCCUUGAUAUUACACACCAUUUGAUGGUAAAAUGAAGUAGCAGAAAAAGACAUGAAAUACAACCAUCCAUUCUCAAGUAUCUUACAUGUUUUGACAAACUAACAUUCAAAUAAAAGAGCAUGCAAUUUUCCAAAGACUUAUUUUCCAAUGUAUGAACAAUCUUAACACGUUUCAGGAAGUUACAUUUAGACCUAGAAUGUUUCCCCAAUGCCGCUCACGGACAAUCGCAAGCCAUAUGGCUUUCGAAGAUGGAGUAAAAAAGAAAACAAACCUGAAACAUUCAUCUGCAAAAAAAAGCGCCCUGAUUAAAAUCCCAACUCUCACAUAACAGGCUGUUUACAUGCGGAGAAUGUUCAUUGAUUGUACCAACUACAUACAAAGAUACAGCAAGAUGAAAAAAUAAAAAAAAUUAUGACAAGUUAUAUCUGCAUUAAUACAUUUGCAAAUGAGUACAUUCUGAAAAAUAGAUAUGACAUGCCUUUUGGAAAUACUCAAAAAUACAAAAAGGUUUUCCUUUAACUUUUUUUCAUGAAGCUGCAUGUUUUUAGUACAAUAUGCUUUGUACAAAAUUAAUGCACAUUACAAUGAACUGGUUGUACAUAUGAAACAAAUCUCUGCAUCAUGUUUUACACUUAAUACACUACUGCUCUUUGACAAUCAUACAAAAUAUUUUUCUUUGCAAGAAAGUGCCAGGGCCUAACGGUAGUUGCAACCCAUCUCCCAACAUCUCAGCUAUCAUUCUUGACUAAGGAUGCCAUUCAGUUUAGCAUAAUUUGACUGUUUUGCAUCAAUCUAGGGAGAAGGAAUACUUGACACUAAUAAAAUGCUACUUACUAUUUAAUACUAUGUUCAAAAUGUAUAUGUAACCAUUGCUGAAUCAGUCUAUUCUAUGAAAGAAAUACUGUGCUUGUGGACUCAGUCAAACAGAGCAGGAUCCUUGGGAUCACAAUUUCCCUUUUGUCCUUCCUCUUCUCUUUCAAUUGGGAAGUACCACAGGAUAUUUAGAAGUACACCUUACAAGUUAUGUUUAUAAUCAGAAUUUU